UAGGGAAUCUUCGGCAAUGGACGAAAGUCUGACCGAGCAACGCCCCGUGAGUGAAGAAGGUUUUCGGAUCGUAAAACUCUGUUGUUAGAGAAGAACAAGGACGUUAGUAACUGAACGUCCCCUGACGGUAUCUAACCAGAAAGCCACGGCUAACUACGUGCCAGCAGCCGCGGUAAUACGUAGGUGGCAAGCGUUGUCCGGAUUUAUUGGGCGUAAAGCGAGCGCAGGCGGUUUCUUAAGUCUGAUGUGAAAGCCCCCGGCUCAACCGGGGAGGGUCAUUGGAAACUGGGGGACUUGAGUGCAGAAGAGGAGAGUGGAAUUCCAUGUGUAGCGGUGAAAUGCGUAGAUAUAUGGAGGAACACCUGUGGCGAAGGCGGCUCUCUGGUCUGUAACUGACACUGAGGCUCGAAAGCGUGGGGAGCAAACAGG
rnacentral:rRNA from 1 species